rnacentral:rRNA from 1 species
AGAAUUUGAUCUUGGUCAGGAUGAACGCUAGCUACAGGCUUAACACAUGCAAGUCGAGGGGCAGCAGGACGAUAGCUUGCUAUUGUUGCUGGCGACCGGCGCACGGGUGAGUAACGCGUAUCCAACCUUCCCCUUAGUAGGGCAUAGCCCGUAGAAAUGCGGAUUAAUACCCUAUGUUGUUCGAUGCGGACAUCUAAGUUGAACCAAAGGUUUACCGCUAAGGGAUGGGGAUGCGUCCGAUUAGGCAGCAGGCGGGGUAACGGCCCACCUGGCCGACGAUCGGUAGGGGUUCUGAGAGGAAGGUCCCCCACAUUGGAACUGAGACACGGUCCAAGCUCCUACGGGAGGCAGCAGUGAGGAAUAUUGGUCAAUGGGCGAGAGCCUGAACCAGCCAAGUAGCGUGCAGGACGACGGCCCUAUGGGUUGUAAACUGCUUUUAUGCGGGGAUAAAGUCACCCACGUGUGGGUGUUUGUAGGUACCGCAUGAAUAAGGACCGGCUAAUUCCGUGCCAGCCGCUGC